UCGGGUAGCUCAGUUGGGUAGAGUGCUGCACCGGAAUCACAGGGCCGUAGGUUCAAUUCCUACCAGAG